AUUGAACGCUGGCGGCAGGCCUAACACAUGCAAGUCGAGCGAGCGGCGGACGGGGGAGUAAUAUCUGGGAAACUGCCCGAUGGAGGGGGGUAACUACUGGAAAAGGUAGGUAAAACCGCCUACCAUCAGAUGUGCCCCGAUGGGUGUGGCUGGUUGGUGGGGGAAUGGCGCACCAAGGCAACGAUCCGUAGCUGGUUUGAGAGGGUGACCAGCCACACUGGAACUGAGACACGGUCCAGACUCCUACGGGAGGCAGCAGUGGGAAAUAUUGCACAAUGGGGGCAAGCCUGAUGCAGCCAUGCCGCGUGUAUGAAGAAGGCCUUCGGGUUGUAAAGUACUUUCAGCGAGGAGGCGUUACUCGCAGAAGAAGCACCGGCUAACUCCGUGCCAGCAGCCGCGGUAAUAC
rnacentral:rRNA from 1 species